rnacentral:rRNA from 1 species
AUUGAACGCUGGCGGCAUGCCUUACACAUGCAAGUCGAACGGCAGCACGGGUGCUUGCACCUGGUGGCGAGUGGCGAACGGGUGAGUAAUACAUCGGAACAUGUCCUGUAGUGGGGGAUAGCCCGGCGAAAGCCGGAUUAAUACCGCAUACGAUCUACGGAUGAAAGCGGGGGACCUUCGGGCCUCGCGCUAUAGGGUUGGCCGAUGGCUGAUUAGCUAGUUGGUGGGGUAAAGGCCUACCAAGGCGACGAUCAGUAGCUGGUCUGAGAGGACGACCAGCCACACUGGGACUGAGACACGGCCCAGACUCCUAUGGGAGGCAGCAGUGGGGAAUUUUGGACAAUGGGCGAAAGCCUGAUCCAGCAAUGCCGCGUGUGUGAAGAAGGCCUUCGGGUUGUAAAGCACUUUUGUCCGGAAAGAAAUCCUUGGCCCUAAUACGGUCGGGGGAUGACGGUACCGGAAGAAUAAGCACCGGCUAACUACGUG